GUCUAUGGCCAUGCUACCCUGAACAAGCCCAAUGUCUGAUCUUGAAAGCUAAGCAGGGUCAGGCCUGGUUAGUACUUGGAUGGGAGACCACCUAGGAAGACCAGAUGCGGUAGGCA
rnacentral:rRNA from 1 species